rnacentral:lncRNA from 10 species
ACUGAUCAACUUCCAGCUGUCAUGAAGUCUCAGCCUUGUCAAAUCUACACUGAUGUUUGUUUAUAACAGUUGUUUGAGAAGUAAUUUUAAGUUUCCUGAUAUCAUCUCUUGGAUUGUGGUCUUACAGUCUUAUUAACCUUUAAGUUGAGAGUUUAGCAUGGAGACUUGAACAUGGAAGAAACAUAUAGAAUGACAGAGACAAAGUUAUUUGUCAAGAGCAUUUUAACAUUUGAUGACCAUACUGCCCAAGCAAUCUACAGAUUUAAUGCAAUUCUUAUAAAAAAUAUCAAUGUCAUUUUUCACAGGGUUAAAAAAAUACUAAAAUUUAUACGGAAUCAAAGACAGACUGAAGAGCCAAAGCAAUCCUAAGCAAAAAGAACAAACUUAGAGGCAUCACAUUACCCAACUUCAGAUUAUAAUACAAGGCUAUAGUAAUCAAAACAGGAUGGUACUGGUAUAAAAGUAGACACAUAGAUCAAAGGAACAAAACAGAGAACCCAGAAAUAAAGCCAAAUACUUACAACCAACUGAUCUUCGACAAAUCAGACAAAAACAUACACUGGGGAAAUACACUCUAUUCAAAAAUGGUGCUGGGAAAAUUGGAUAGCCACAUCAUAUAGAAGAAUGAAACUGGAUUCUUAUCUCUUACUGUGUGCAAAAAUGAUCUCAAGAUGGAUUAAAGACUUAAAUGUAAGACCUGAAACCAUAAGAAUUCUAGAAAAAAACCUAAGAAAAACUCUUCUGGACAUUGGCCUAGGCAAAGAAUUUAUGAUUAAGACACCAAAGGCAAAUGCAACAAAAACUGAAAUAAAUAAAUGGAACCUAAUUAAACUAAGAAGCUUCUGCACAGCAAAAGAAAUAAUAAACAGAGUACACAGACAACCUACAGAAUGGGAGAAAAUAUUUGCAAACUAUGCAUCUGACAAAGGACUAAUAUCCAGAAUCUACAAGAAACUCAAACAAAUUAGCAAGAAAAAAAAAACCCAUUAAAAGGCAGGCAAAUGACAUGAACAGCCACUUCUCAAAAGAAGAAUAGAGUAUUUUUACAUUUGAUAAUAAGGACAUAUAUUUCUAAGCCAACAAAAACCAAUAUUAUGGAAAGCUUUAUUUGUAUGUUUUAGGUGCAUUUUUCCUGAAGGAAAAUAGUUUAUAGCUGCCCUUUAUAUAAAAAAAAUCGACUUAAAAUUUGGUUAUUUUAAAAAUAAAUGUAAGAAUUUCUCAUUUAGACAAGAUUGGGCACUUUCAGGGUGGUAUGGCCAUGGGUAGAAUUUCUCAUUUAAAUAAAUGAAUCUAGUUGUUAAUACUUUUGAAAAGUAAAUAUUUUCUUCUAAAUAGAAAAUAGGAAUGGCCAAUCAUAGUAAAGAAAUUGAAUCAGUAAUAAAGUGACCCAUCAAAGAAAAGCCCAGAAUUGGAUGGUUUAUGCUGAAUUCUACCAAUUAUUUAAAGGGGAACUAAUACCACUCCUUCUCCAACUCUUCCAAAACAUUGAAGUGGAGGGAAUACUGCCAAACUAAUUUCACAAGGCCAGCAUUAUCCUAAUACCAAAGCCAGAAAAGAACAUUACAAGAACAGACAAUUACAGACCAAUAUCCCUGAUGAACAUAGAUGCAAAAAUCCUCAAAAGACUAAUAAAACCAAAUUCAAUAGUAUAUUAAAAGGAUUAUUCACCAUGAUCAAGUGGGGAUUUAUCCCUAAGAUAAUUUCAUGUAUGAUUCAACAUGCACAAAUCAAUAAAUGUGAUAUCCCAUAUUAACAGAAUGAAAGACAAAAACUAUAAGGUCAUCUUAAUAAAUACAGACGAAGCAUUUGACAAAAUUGAAUACCUUUUCAUAAAAAAUUCUCAACAACUUAGGUAUAGAAGGAAUGUACUUCAACACAAUAAAGGGCCAAGUCUGAUACAUCACAGCUAACAUCAUACUCAGUGGUCAAAAGCUGAAAGCUAUUCCUCUGUGAUCAGGAACCAGACAAGGAUACCCACUCUCACUACUUCUUUUCAACAUAGAACUGGAAGUCCUAGCCAGAGCAAUUAGGCAAGGAAAGAAAUAAAAGGCAUACAAAUAGGAAAAGAAGAGGUGAAAUUGUCCGCUUGCUGAUUACAUGAUCUUAUUAAUAGAGACCCUAAAGAUGCCACCAAAAAACUGUUAGAACUGAUCAAUGAAUGCAAUAAAGUUGCAAGAUAUACAAACUCAACAUACAAAAAUGUCACAUUUCUAUAAGCCAACAAUGAACUACCUGAAAAAGAAAGAAAACAAUUCCAUUUACAAUACUGUUAAAAAAGACCAUUAAAAGAGUACUUAAGGGUAAAUAUAACAAGAAGGUGAAAAUUCUGUAUAUUGAAAACUAUAAAACAUUGAUGAAAUAAAUUUAAGAAAACACAAAUAAGUGGAAAGAUAUCUUGUGUUCAUGGAUUGAAAGAAUUAAUAUUGUUAAAAUAUCUAUACUACCCAAAGUGAGCUACAGAUUCAAUGCAAUCUCUACCAAAAUUCCAACAUCAUUUUUCAUUUUGCCAGUGGAACCACAAAAGAUCCCGAAUAGCCAAAGCAAUCUUGAGGGGGGGAAAAAAAAAAGCUUGUGGCAUCACCCUACCUGAUUUCAAAAUAUACUACAAAGCUAUAGUAAUCAAAACAACAUGGCAUUAGCAUAAUAACCAACAUAUAGACCAAUGAAACAGGAUAAAGGGCCCAGAAAUAAACCCACACAUUUACAAUCAAUUGCUUUGGCUAUUCUGCACUCCUGUGUUCAUUGCAGCAUUAUUCACAACAGACAAGAUAUAGGCUCACCCUAAGUGUUCAAUGGCUGAAUGGAUUUU